rnacentral:rRNA from 1 species
GACGAACGCUGGCGGCGUGCUUAACACAUGCAAGUCGAACGGAAAGGCCCUGCUUUUGUGGGGUGCUCGAGUGGCGAACGGGUGAGUAACACGUAAGUAACCUGCCCUUGACCUUGGGAUAACUUCAGGAAACUGGGGCUAAUACCGGAUAGGAGCUCCUGCUGCAUGGUGGGGGUUGGAAAGUUUCGGCGGUUGGGGAUGGACUCGCGGCUUAUCAGCUUGUUGGUGGGGUAGUGGCUUACCAAGGCUUUGACGGGUAGCCGGCCUGAGAGGGUGACCGGCCACAUUGGGCCUGAGAUACGGCCCAGACUCCUACGGGAGGCAGCAGUGGGGAAUAUUGCACAAUGGGCGGAAGCCUGAUGCAGCAACGCCGCGUGCGGGAUGACGGCCUUCGGGUUGUAAACCGCUUUCGCCUGUGACGAAGCGUGAGUGACGGUAAUGGGUAAAGAAGCACCGGCUAACUACGUG